CCUACGGGAGGCAGCAGUGAGGAAUAUGGGGCAAUGGGCGUAAGCCUGAACCAGCCAAGUCGCGUGAGGGAUGAAGGUUCUAUGGAUCGUAAACCUCUUUUAUAAGGGAAUAAAGUGCGGGACGUGGCCCUCUUUGCAUGUACCUUAUGAAUAAGGAUCGGCUAACUCCGUGCCAGCAGCCGCGGUAAUACGGAGGAUCCGAGCGUUCUACGGAGUUAUUGGGUUUAAAGGGUGCGUAGGUGGCCUUUUAAGCCAGCGGUGAAAGUCUGUGGCUCAACCAUAGAAUGGCCGUUGACAGUGGGAGGCUGGAGUGUGUGUGAGGCAGGCGGAAUGUGUGGGGUAGGGGUGAAAUGCUUAGAUAUCAAGCAGAACCCCGAUUGGGAAGGCAGCCUGCCAAGCCAUGACUGACGCUGAUGCACGAAAGCGUGGGGAUCAAACAGGAUUAGAUACCCUUGUAGUC
rnacentral:rRNA from 1 species